rnacentral:rRNA from 1 species
GUGGGGAAUAUUGGACAAUGGGCGCAAGCCUGAUCCAGCCAUGCCGCGUGAGUGAUGAAGGCCCUAGGGUUGUAAAGCUCUUUCACCGGUGAAGAUAAUGACGGUAACCGGAGAAGAAGCCCCGGCUAACUUCGUGCCAGCAGCCGCGGUAAUACGAAGGGGGCUAGCGGUGUUCGGAAUUACUGGGCGUAAAGCGUACGUAGGCGGACAUUUAAGUCAGGGGUGAAAUCCCAGAGCUCAACUCUGGAACUGCCUUUGAUACUGGGUGUCUUGAGUAUGGAAGAAGUAAGUGGAAGUCCGAGUGUAGAGGUGAAAUUCGUAGAUAUUCGGAGGAACACCAGUGGCGAAGGCGGCUUACUGGUCCAUUACUGACGCUGAGGUGCGAAAGCGUGGGGAGCAAACAGGAUUAGAUACCCGAGUAGUCC